rnacentral:rRNA from 1 species
GUAGGGUGCAAGCGUUAUCCGGAUUUAUUGGGCGUAAAGAGUUCGUAGGCGGUCGGAAAAGUCAUUCGUUUAAGCCCCCGGCUCAACCGGGGAAAGGCGGGUAAUACUUUCUGACUAGUACACAGUCGGGGAUAUUGGAAUGUCUGGUGGAGGGGUGAAAUCCGUUGAGACCAGAUAGAACACCGAGGGCGAAGGCAGAUAUCUAGGCUGUUGUAGACGCUGAGGAACGAAAGUUAGGGUAGCAAAAGGGAUUAGAGACCCCUGUAGUCCUUACUGUAAACGAUCUCUACUAGCUUCCCGGUCUUUAUUGAUUGGGGGGCGUAAGCUAACGCGUUAAGUAGAGCGCCUGGGGGAGUACGGCCGCAAGGCUA